rnacentral:lncRNA from 1 species
GGGAUGGAUUGAAGUUAUUAAACCAGAUCUUGUCUUCAUGCAUUGGCGUGAAGUAGAUCAAAGAUAGCAGGUCCUAUCUUCAUGUAUUGGGGUGAAGUGGAUCGAAGAUGCAGAUCUUGUCUUCCCAUAUUGGUGGCGAAGUAGAUCGAAGAAAGUAGAUCUUGUCUUCAUGUAUUGGCGUGAAGUGAAUCGAAGAUGCAGAUCUUGUCUUCCCAUAUUGGUGGCGAAGUAGAUCGAAGAAAGCAGAUCUUGUCUUCAUGUAUUGGCGUGAAGUAGAUCGAAAAUAGCAGGUCCUAUCUUCAUGUAUUGGCGUGAAGUGGAUCGAAGAAGCAGAUCUUGUCUUCAUGUAUUGGCGUGAAGUAGAUCGAAGAAAACAGAUCUUGUCUUCAUGUAUUGGCGUGAAGUAGAUCGAAGAUAGCAGGUCCUAUCUUCAUGUAUUGGCGUGAAGUAGAUCGAAGAUGCAGAUUUUGUCUUCCCAUACUGGUGGCGAAGUAGAUCGAAGAAAACAGAUCUUAUCUCCCUAAGCAGCAGUGGAGCAGAUCGAAUCCAGUCUUAUCUCCCUAAGCAGUAGGGGAGUAGACUAAAACCACAAAUCUCAUCCCCAUGGAGUUGUAACGAAUAGAUUGAAAUCGUAUCUCUCUGAAGUAUAGUGGAGUGGAUUAGGGCAAUAAGACACAGUGGACUGGAAAGAGGCUACUUGAAGAAGAAAAGCACCAAGAAGUCAAGACUCGACGAGACCGGGCGAUUUUGACCUUUCUUAAAAGUCUUUGCUUCAUUCCUAUUGCACGACAAUGAGCAAAGAGGGGCAGCUGUAAAGCCCAAAAUCUGCCCGGGCUUGACAGUCCAUUUACAAAAAAUGAACCCAAACAAUUAUAGCCCAAAUAAAAAAAAACCUAAAGCCCAAAUGGCCCAAAACUAAACUAGUUUUCAGCCAAACACAAAAACCCUAGCCGCAUGCCUCGCUAUUGCCGCCGCUCCAUCUGCGCCGCACGCCGUCACCGUCCAAGACUCGCCUAUCACCAGUCGCCCACGCGUCUGACACCUGCGAAAAUUAAGUAUAACGACAGUGAAAAGGCAUGCGGGCAAUAAAAAAAAGAAGAUGGACAUUAAAGAAGAAGGAGAAGACAUUUUUUUCGGCUAUAAAAAGCUUUAAUCGAAUCCUUGUAUUUUAUUUUACGAAUACAUCUCAGUCAAUCAAAAACUCAGAAACAAAAAUAGAAAAGGUUAAUUUUAAACUACUUUUUUCGUCUCUUUCUAUUUUAUUUAUUUGAUCUUAUUUUAUUUAUUUUUUUUCUUUUGCAAAUCUAUUUCAAAUAACUAUAGUAAAAAAUCAAAAGCAAUAAAAAGGGGAAGGGGGACUUACCGGGGAAGCGCCAAAAUCGUGCCCGCGAGGGGUUCUCCUUCUUCGCGGCCACCGGAUCUCAAAGGCGCCGAGGUUCCUUUAUUUUCUCCUUCGGGAUUGGGGGUUUAGCCUUCUGGGAUGUUUCUAGGCCGAGGUUAGGAGCUCUUUCUCCAUCACCGGCCACCGGUCUUUGUGGCCGUGAUGGCGGCGCGCCGGAGGCAAACGAACCCGAGGGUCGGACGGUUGAAAGUGGAGGAGAAAGGUUUUGAAACAAAAAAAAUAUAACAAACAGAGGCCAGAAUGAAAAGAAUGAAAAUUCUGCUUAAAUGCACUAAGUAAAACGGCGCCGUUGAGGGGAGGUGACCAGCGCAUUCUUGCCCUAGUGGUAAUUUUGCGCCUUUGGUCCCUCCAAUUUUUCCAGCGCAUUUAAAUUACCCUUUUGUUUCUUUUAAUUUUAGUCAUAUAAUUUCGCGUCUUUUCCAAUCUGGUCCCGCGCAAAUCUAUGCGCAUAUGGGACGGGGAAUAUUGCGCAAUCGGUCCCCCAGGUCCUCGGCGCCUUUUAUUUCAACCCAUUUACCACCUAUUUCAUAUAUUUGUAGUUUAAGACCCGUUUUUUUUAUUCUGUUUCAACCACGUCCUUAAUAUGUUUUUUAUAUACGCUAUUUUAUCAUUAUUUGGUUUAAGCCUUNNNN